rnacentral:rRNA from 1 species
GAGAAUUUUUCUCAAUGGGGGAAACCCUGAAGGAGCGACGCCGCGUGGAGGAUGAAGGUCUUCGGAUUGUAAACUCCUGUCAUUUGAGAACAAGGGUAAGCGGUUAACUGCCGCGUGCUUGAUAGUAUCAGAAGAGGAAGAGGCGGCUAACUCUGUGCCAGCAGCCGCGGUAAUACAGAGGCCUCAAGCGUUGUUCGGAUUCAUUGGGCGUAAAGGGAGCGUAGGCGGUCGGGUAAGUCGGAUGUGAAAUCCUGGGGCUCAACCUCAGAACUGCAUUCGAUACUGCUUGGCUAGAGGACUGGAGAGGUGGGUGGAAUUCACGGUGUAGCAGUGAAAUGCGUAGAUAUCGUGAGGAAGACCAGCGGCGAAGGCGGCUCACUGGACAGUAUCUGACGCUGAUGCUCGAAGGCCAGGGGAGCAAA